rnacentral:rRNA from 1 species
AUGCACCGUAGUUUACUACACCGUAUUCUGUGAGUUGCGAACGGGUGAGUAACGCGUAGGUAACCUGCCUGGUAGCGGGGGAUAACUAUUGGAAACGAUAGCUAAUACCGCAUAAGAACAUUUACUGCAUGGUAGAUGUUUAAAAGGUGCAAAAGCAUCACUACCAGAUGGACCUGCGUUGUAUUAGCUAGUUGGUGAGGUAACGGUCACCAAGGCAACGAUACAUAGCCGACCUGAGAGGGUGAUCGGCCACACUGGGACUGAGACACGGCCAGACUCCUACGGGAGGCAGCAGUAGGGAAUCUUCGGCAAUGGGGGGAACCCUGACCGAGCAACGCCGCGUGAGUGAACGAAGGUUUCGGAUCGUAAAGCUCUGUGUUACGGAAGAACGUGUGUGACAGUGGAAAGUUCACACAGUGACGGUACUUAACCAGAAAGGGACGGUAACUACGUGCCAGCAGCCGCGGUAAUACGUAGGUCCCGAGCGUAGUCCGGAUUUAUUGGGCGUAAGGCCGAGCGCAGGCGGUUAGAUCAAAGUCUGACAGUGAAAGGCAGUGGCUCAACCAUUGUAGGCUUUGGAAACUGUUUAACUUGAGUGCAGUAAGGGGAGCACUGGAAUUCCAUGUGUACCGGUGUAAAUGCGUAGAUAUAUGGAGGGACACCGGUGGCGUAACGGCUCUCUGGUCUGUAACUGACGCUGAGGCUCUGAAAGCCUGGUGAGCGAACAGGAUUAGAUACCCUGGUAGUCCACACCGUAAACGAUGACCUGCUAGGUGUUAGUCCUUUCCGGGACUUAGUCCCAGCUACGCAUAAGCACUCCGCCUGG